rnacentral:rRNA from 1 species
AUUGAACGCUGGCGGCAGGCCUAACACAUGCAAGUCGAGCGGAUGAAGGGAGCUUGCUCCUGGAUUCAGCGGCGGACGGGUGAGUAAUGCCUAGGAAUCUGCCUGGUAGUGGGGGAUAACGUCCGGAAACGGGCGCUAAUACCGCAUACGUCCUGAGGGAGAAAGUGGGGGAUCUUCGGACCUCACGCUAUCAGAUGAGCCUAGGUCGGAUUAGCUAGUUGGUGGGGUAAAGGCCUACAAAGGCGACGAUCCGUAACUGGUCUGAGAGGAUGAUCAGUCACACUGGAACUGAGACACGGUCCAGACUCCUACGGGAGGCAGCAGUGGGGAAUAUUGGACAAUGGGCGAAAGCCUGAUCCAGCCAUGCCGCGUGUGUGAAGAAGGUCUUCGGAUUGUAAAGCACUUUAAGUUGGGAGGAAGGGCAGUAAGUUAAUACCUUGCUGUUUUGACGGUACCAACAGAAUAAGCACCGGCUAACUUCGUG